GUACAAUGAAGACUGUUUAAGGCUUAACCUGAUGUUUAAACCAAGUUGAUUUUAUGUUUUGUUUGACGCUAAAAUGAACAAAUCUUUUUUUUCCAGAAUGAAAUCUUUGCAUCCCGUCACCAGGAUGUGAACAGUGUGGCCUGUAUCGAAGACAAAUGCUAUGUCCUUACAUUGGCACAGUAUUGUCGAUUUUGUGCCUUGGUAAAACGCCAUAGGGAGGGUGUGCGCGACUGUGCCGCCUCCCUGGUGGUGCCACCCGUUGUUGGCAGCGCCAUGCCCCCCCACCACUGUGUGCCCCAGGACGUCGACCCAGAGCUGGUGUUUUUCUGUCGACAUGUCUACGACUUCCGCUACGGACGUCUCCUCAAGAACCUGCAGUAGCAUCUGACGGGUCAUGACACAUAACGCUACGGGACGUGAGAUAAUGUUCUGCAUCCUCCACAACAUUGAUUAGCCACUCACCUACCUGCUGCCUGUGUGACGGGAACUGGAAGUUUAGGGAUGAAGGAUUGAGACAUGAGCUCUUUUUGUUUUGAAAUAACAUACCACGCAUUUAUUUAGUAAGAGUAAUGGCUUGACAUAUUGUAUGAGAGUUUAUAUGGCAGUGUAAUGGUAUUUCUCUUACAUGGCUCUGUGAUGUCGUAGCGGCUGUGUGAAGAACCUGGAGCGUACUCUGCUGUAGAAAAUGCUACUCUAGCUCUAGAAAAUGUUACAUUUCAUAGUAAUGAAGGGAGGUUGAUGUUACAUGUGAAUAUUUUACUGUCUGCCCGACAGAUAUCAGACUAAUGUGUCUGGAUGAUACGCUAUAUAUAAAGAACAUUUGAAGUAUAUUGAUAUCGAGCUGCAUCAGUCCUUUAGAAGUAGGAAAGAGGUUUCAGUGGCUGGAGAUUUAGUCAGACGCCUUACAGGAAAGCUCCCAAGUGAGGUCUUCAAGUUUCUUUCUAAGGAAAAGUUUUUGUUGGAUGAGAUGAUCAAUGCCACUCUUAUGUCAGUAUGGUAAAAAUAACCAUACUGCCAGCAUCAGUUAGCUUUGCAUACAGACUGAAAAUGGGCCUAUAAACCAAGCCUUGCUAGCUGUUUCCCCCUCUUUUCAUUCUUUGUGCUAAGCUAACUGGCUGCUGCAUCCAGCUACAUAUCUACAAGACAAACAUCGAUAUCAAUAGUAUCGUUAGUUAGCUUAAUACAUUUUACAGUUAUUUAAUUUAAAGUAAUAAUCUCAAAGAUGAUCAUUUAAAUGAUAUGUCACUAUUGCCUAAUAAGGUAACACAAUUGUGUUUAACCAUACUGCCCACUGAUGAAAGCCCUUACCCUAUCAACAUCUCUGCUAAAAACCAUAAGCAGUGAUCUUUAAGAAGUGAGAAAACACACCCACGACUACCGCCUUUUUCCACCCUAGAAACCAAAAUAGAGAUCUUUGAGAUUGUUAUUUGCCAUUUACAUGUAAUGGUGAUUGACCUGUUGGUCUAUCGACUUUCACCACAGCUGUGAAGAUUCUUCUUUUUUUUUUUUAUCAGGAAGUUUUUUAAUUACUCAAAAUGUUCUUUAUUACCACUGACUAAGUGCAUGCACAGCAACAAUGAAAUGUGGACGUUUUUUCGCUCCACCUGUCAUGAUUUUCCCAGAAAAGUAUAGGUUUUAUGACAUAAGUGUAAUCCAGCAAUUCACCAGAGUGGUGGUUAUCACAAUAUCACAUUUCAGACCUGCACUCUAGGAGCAAAGCACACUUCAGUUUGUUUGACAGCGUCCAAUGAGCCAAGCAUCGAAGGGAUUUUUGUUAUGCCAAUGCUGAGGAAUAUUUUACUUUCUCAAAGCUGCUUGCCAGAGGUGUGACCUGACUCCGGUGACAGCUAACUGUAUAUUUGCAUUUAUAUAUCUGGAUGAGUGUGUGUUCGUGGCAGAUGGCAUCAGUUAGUCACAUAUAUUCUUGUUUCUUCACCGAUGAGAUGGUGAGUGAUGUAUUCAGUGUAGCAUUUAGACCUGUGAUGAUGAUCCAUUCCUAUGUUUGAGAGAAAAAUAUGUAUUUAUUUCUGUACUGAGAAAAUAUAAUUUAUUUUCAAAAGAUAAUUUUAGGGAAUACACUGUUAGAUGAGUGGCUUUCAUUCCUGAUUAGAGAGAAGGCCUCCCCUUCUUAGCUGCACUGUCGAAGAUAAAAAAGUGUGUUAUUUUGCUAUAGUACUUCUGUGACUGAUUGAGCUUGCUUGCCCAAUACAAGCCUAUUAAAUGUUAUGUUGAGAUGUUGAAGGCCUCUGAGGACAUAUUAAGAAGGAUCUUAGAUACAGUUUGAAGGACACCUGCUAACAUAUGACUAAAGAUGCUUAACCUGCAGGACCGAAACGUACCUUGGCCUCUCCCAGCUUCCUGUCGUUCUCCUGUCACUCCUCCUCAGAUGAUAAAGCUUCGCCUCUUCACCUUUGAAUGCUGAAUGCUGCAAUGAUUUAAACCUACCUUGCCAUUAGCCUGUGCCCUUGAUCUUGCUGCCUUAUAGAACAUUCCCAGCCUUUCAUUUAGAAAUGUGUACUGAUGUCGGCCGGAGGGUCAUGAAGCUACUUGGUGUGCUGAUCCAGAUUCCUCCACCAUCAGAUUCUUGCGAUCUAAAAGGCAUCAACGCUUUUAUUUUGACAAGUCCGCCCAAGUUUUGAUUUAUAUUCAAAGAGAUCUGUUAAAGGAGCAGUUCAAUAUUUUUGGAAAUGCACUUGAUUCCUUUCUUGUAAAGAGUUAAAUGAGAAGAACAAUACCACAGUCUUAGCUGUGUGCUAAGUAUGAAGCUGCAGCCAGCACUCAAUUAGCCUAGCUUAGCAUUAAGCCUGCACGUGGAAACAUAUCGGUUGGCUCUGUUGGUAUAGGUAACAUGUAUCAGUAUCUCUAAACCUGUUGUCUGUAAAAAUCCAAUCUUUAUGUUAAGCUAAGCUUACUGUCUGUUGGCUGUAGUUUUAUUUGUAGCGUACAGACAUGAUUGUAGUUUUGAUUUUAUAUUUAUAUCUCAGCAAAAAAUAACGUUUAUUUCCAAAAUGACUGAAUUUGUAGUUUUUCGUUUUUCUUGAAGAACAGCAGCUGCGUCAUUUUAAUUUCAUCAGCUGCAAAUUAAUUUCAUAACAAGAUUUCAUGGUGGAAUAAAAAGUAUCAAAAUGCCCACAGAAACUUUUCUAAUCUACUUCUUCAUCAUAAUCCACCUCACAGCUGUCCUGUUAGCCCAUUGUGUUUCAAACAAAAGACACAACUUCCUGGCAGAGCUUCAAGCUGUGAGGAAAUGGAUAAUGCAGCAGGAGUGUUUGAGAUGUUUUAAGUCUCUGAUUUGAAGCUUAUUGGCAUUUGAAUCCUUUGUAUGACAUGUUUUAAGAUGAACAAAAGUACUGCUUUACAUGAACUUCAAACAAUUUACAGCCCCCUUUAAAAGCCUGAGGGGUCUAUGAAUUGAGACAUCUUGGGCUACUUCUGCUUUACUCCCUGCUGUUCAAUGUGAUGAGAUUAAUUUGCUGUGUUAAUUUACAAAAGCUGAAUUUAUUUAUAAAUGGAUUAAUAUUUGACUUUCAAAUAAGCCUCCUCUGAUUAAUAUGUUAGUAUUUGUUCAUUCAUUAGGCUGUAAUGAAAAGCAUAGUUCCUGCCAUUUCAAUCAAACCAAAGGUUAUUGGUCUGUACAAAACUACAGUCACUGUUUCUCAACUGAGACAUUGUAUUGUAUUUUGAAAGAUGCUAGAUGUACAGUAUCCCAGCCCACACAGCACAAUCCAACAAAGCAGAACUGGGUAUAGCCUACUAAAUUUGGUUUUUCAAUUUCAAUUCCCCCGGGGCGUUCUGGAUCAGAGUGCGAGACCACACACACGGUACACAUUAUGGCCUUAGGAAUCACUCAGCAAACAAAUUCUGUUUAAUCAAGUUUUGUGAAAUGUAUGUCUUAAUUGGUCCUCUGUGCCUGUUCCCAUUAACCCGUAUUUACUCUGUUUUUCACGAUGAGAAGUACUAGCUGUUGUUUUUUACCUACCUUCCAAAUGCCUUUCAUUUUUGCAAAAUGACACUGGUCUGAUCUUGAAUCACCACAAAGAAAUGUUUGCACCAAAAAGAGAGAGAGAAGGGAAGGUACCGAAACUAAUUUAAGGAAUUUAGUUUCAUUCACAGGUGUUAAAAAAACCUGACGUUUGGGUCUUCUGAUGUGAGUUUCUGUUCAUAUUAUUUGCAUGGUGUUUUUUUUUGUAUAUCUUGGAAAUAUUAAUCGCAGCACAGAUUAUUUGUAUGGUUUCAAAUGGACCUCUGUAAUAUAAGAAAAAUAUUUAAUUGUAAUAAAUAAUAUAUGAGUUUGAA